GAGUCUCUAUGCCUGGAAUACAUCAAGUACACUGCCUUCCAGCUCCAAUCCUGAUUUUCUGUGCCAUGUAAUUUAGACGACUUGUUCCAGAAUACAGACUUCAGACAAGAUCCUCUGACUCAUAAAUAUGCAUGAGAGGAAAGACACAGAGAAAAUGCAGGAAUAAAGACAACAGAAACACAAGCUCCUCACCUAGAUGGUACAUGCAUGGACAGCCCUCAGGAUGAAUCCAAACAUGGGCCUUUUUCUCUAAUCUCUUAUUUCCUGCUUUGGAAGGAGUUUUGGGAGAGUCUGUGAUACAUCUAUCAAGACCAGGGAAGACAAGGAUAGUCUGGAGACAGCUAUCAAGGUACAUGUACAUAGAUGCAGACUUCCAUCUCCAGCAGCUGGUGACUUGCUAGGACAGAGGACCCGUGGAGCAGCAGUGCACAGAGACAGUUCUCAGCUCUGACACAAAGCCACCAGCACCACAGCCAGCAGAGCUAAGUACAGACCAAUUACAGACGGAGAAUCCAAAUCAGGAGGAGCAAACCUGCACUUUCUAUCUCAAAAUACACAAAUGUAUUACUUUUCAGACACAGUAUAUGCAUUUCUAGGAUGCUCAUGACCACUAUUCAGAUUUUGGGAGUGAACUACUUUGACAAAUACACUAAAAUGAUAUUUAUUGGCA